GAUGAAGAACGUAGCGAAAUGCGAUAAGUAGUGUGAAUUGCAGAAUUCAGUGAAUCAUCGAAUCUUUGAACGCACAUUGCGCCCCUUGGUAUUCCAUGGGGCAUGCCUGUUCGAGCGUCAUUUGUACCUUCAAGCUCUGCUUGGUGUUGGGUGUUUGUCUCGCCUCUGCGUGUUGACUCGCCUCAAAACAAUUGGCAGCCGGCGUAUUGAUUUCGGAGCGCAGUACAUCUCGCGCUUUGCACUCAUAACGACGACGUCCAAAAGUACAUUUUUACACUCUUGACCUCGGAUCAGGUAGGGAUACCCGCUGAACUUAAGCAUAUCAAUAAGCGGAGGA
rnacentral:misc_RNA from 1 species